GCGCCGCCAGCCGGGCGGCCGCGUCGGCGCCCUGCACCGGCGCCGGGUAGAUGAUCACGGGCACCUGCGGCGCGC
rnacentral:tRNA from 3 species